rnacentral:rRNA from 1 species
GACGAACGCUGGCGGCGUGCUUAACACAUGCGAGUCGAACGGAAAGGCCCUGCUUUUGUGGGGUGCUCGAGUGGCGAACGGGUGAGUAACACGUGAGUAACCUGCCCUUGACUUUGGGAUAACUUCAGGAAACUGGGGCUAAUACCGGAUAGGAGCUCCUGCUGCAUGGUGGGGGUUGGAAAGUUUCGGCGGUUGGGGAUGGACUCGCGGCUUAUCAGCUUGUUGGUGGGGUAGUGGCUUACCAAGGCUUUGACGGGUAGCCGGCCUGAGAGGGUGACCGGCCACAUUGGGACUGAGAUACGGCCCAGACUCCUACGGGAGGCAGCAGUGGGGAAUAUUGCACAAUGGGCGGAAGCCUGAUGCAGCCACGCCGCGUGCGGGAUGACGGCCUUCGGGUUGUAAACCGCUUUCGCCUGUGACGAAGCGUGAGUGACGGUAAUGGGUAAAGAAGCACCGGCUAACUACGUG